UACAGGGGGUGCAAGCGUUGCUCGGAAUCACUGGGCGUAAAGGGCGCGUAGGCGGCUUAUCAAGUCGGGGGUGAAAGCCCGUGGCUCAACCACGGAAUGGCCUUCGAUACUGGUAGGCUUGAGACCGGAAGAGGACAGCGGAACUGCGAGUGUAGAGGUGAAAUUCGUAGAUAUUCGCAAGAACACCAGUGGCGAAGGCGGCUGUCUGGUCCGGUUCUGACGCUGAGGCGCGAAAGCGUGGGGAGCAAACAGG
rnacentral:rRNA from 1 species